UUUCGUUUUAGGCUUUUUGUUGUUACGCUGGCUUCUCUUUUUCUAUUAUAUAGAAGUGUGAAAAAUCAUCAACCAAGGGCAAAAUUACCUUUCUAUCUCAGUCAUAAUUUAUUUACUUUUUUUGCUCGAUUUGCCACAAAAAAUACCUCAGUCAGCGACAACAACCAUGGCUUCUAGUUCCUGCUCUUCACUUCUUGACAUUUUCUUUCUUCUUCAGCCAUACGAGGCUUUCGGAAACCAAAUAUCGUGGCAAGGGCAUAGCGGAAUAAAGAAUUUUACGGUUUGAGGGCCUCAAUCUAUUAUAUUAUAACUGUAGAUAGCAGAAAGGCAAUCACCUUAUGUUGGAGCUUUCCUUGGAAGAUGAGCAAGGCUAAUCGUAAUGUUGUUGUGUCUACUCAGAUACAAAAAAGACGUUUAUGAGCUCAAAGGAAAAGCUUUAUUUAACUUUCUUCAGGAAAUUGUGUGUGUUUGCUCAGAUACGAGGCUUUCAGAGACCAAUUCUCGAGGCAAGGGCAUAACAAAGUGAGAAAUUACACGAGUUGAGAUCCAGGUGCUUUCGGAUACGGCGGCCGUUAGAUCUCAG